ACGGAAGGCAGCAGUGAGGAAUAUUGGUCAAUGGGGGGAACCCUGAACCAGCCAUGCCGCGUGAAGGAAGAAGGUCUUCGGGUUGUAAACUUCUUUUACCAGGGACGAAUAAUGACGGUACCUGGAGAAAAAGCAACGGCUAACUACGUGCCAGCAGCCGCGGUAAUACGUAGGUUGCAAGCGUUGUCCGGAUUUACUGGGUGUAAAGGGCGUGUAGGCGGAGCUGCAAGUCAGAUGUGAAAUCCCGGGGCUCAACCCCGGAACUGCAUUUGAAACUGUAGCCCUUGAGUAUCGGAGAGGCAAGCGGAAUUCCUAGUGUAGCGGUGAAAUGCGUAGAUAUUAGGAGGAACACCAGUGGCGAAGGCGGCUUGCUGGACGACAACUGACGCUGAGGCGCGAAAGCGUGGGGAGCAAACAGGAUUAGAUACCCUGGUA
rnacentral:rRNA from 1 species